UAGAGCAGUUAAACGCUAUUCCGUCGAUCCUUAUAGGAUAACUGCGGAAAUACUGGAGCUAAUACUUUUAACAAAACGCUAGUCGCAAGAUUAGCGGCAGUUAUUAGUGAAGACCAAUCGCCUCACGGCGUUUUGUGUUGACUCUGAGUAAAGUUCGUAUCUCGUCGGUUUAUCCGACGAAUGACGGAAAGCUUUUCUGCCCUAUCAACUAGAUGGCAGUUUAGUGGACUGCCAUGGUUGUUACGGGUACCGGAGAAUCGGGGUUCGGCUCCGGAGAGGCAGCCUUAGAAACGGCUACCACAUCCAAGGAAGGCAGCAGGCGCGAAACUUAUCCACUAUGCAAAAUGAGAUAGUGACUAAGAAUAGAAAACCCUGCCCCUAGGGGUAGGGUAUUUAAAUGAGUGAAGUGUAAAAAUCUUCUCGAGAAACUAAGAGAGGGCAAGUCUGGUGCCAGCAGCCGCGGUAAUUCCAGCUCUCUUAGCGUACAUCGUUACUGCUGAGGUUAAAAAGCUCAUAGUUGAUUUUAUGUGGACGUGAUUGGUUCGCCUCGUGCGUUAACUGAUCUGUCUGCAAAGUGUCGGUCUUGACUUCGGUCGUGGCUGGCGAGUUUACCUUGAUUAAAUCAAGGUGCUCAGAACAGGCGUUUGCUUGUAUGUGUUAUCAAGGAAUAAUGGAAAAAGAUUUCGAUCCUUUCCUUUGGUCUAUGGAUUGAGAUAAUGACUAAUAGGAGCAUACGGGGCCAAUCGUAUUCCUGCGGGAGGGGUGAAAUCCUA
rnacentral:rRNA from 1 species